UGCCCGGCGAGGCAGGAGACACCUCAGCUCUGCCUCUGGGUGGUGCAGGGAUGUUUUGUGUGUAUCUCGGUGAGCCAGCUGUCCCUGGGGAGGGGGCUCUGCAGCUUGUGAGUGUGGGGGAUACACGUGGGUCCAAUGUGUGUCAGGGUCAGCUCCUGGGAGGUGCAGGAGAGGAUUAGGCUAGACUGGCCCCUUUCAACUGCAGACCAGACAGAGAACCUGGGAUCUCCAGCUCAGCUUCCCUGCUGAUUGAGGCGCUGUGACGUGAUGUGAUUAAGGACUUUUAAAAUUCCGACGGCCUCUUUACUGAUUCUAGUUCAUUAACUACUUGACACAUGAUGGGAACCUUUUGGAGAGAGGGACUUGAGCCCGGAAGUUGAAGGAUCGGGGUAUAUCACACACUCUGUGGAGAAUCUUCAAGCAUAGAAAUGUACAAGAUGUCGGCUGUGGCAGCAACAGUGAUGACGGAGGAAGGUAGCAGAGAGGAGGUGUGAAAAUUGGACCAGAGACUGGCUCCGAAAUUCAGCAAGUGCGUGGACAUCAUGCAAAUGGAGAAUGCAGAUUCAGCUGUGGGCAACUUGGAUCCUUCUUCAGGGGACACUUCUCUGCAGCUGUUCCUUUCUCCAGGACUGGUCCCAGCAUCUGAACCACAAUCCCUUAUUCUAAGAGGAGCCCCAGCCCGUGACUGGCGAGUUUGUGCCAUAAGACCCUGGCUAUUUCCCCCAGCAUGGAACCUUCUAAUGGCCAGCGUUCUCUGCGGCCUGCUGGGCUGCCAAAGAUUUUCCACUUAUACAUUGUAAUUUGAGGGCUCUCCUUCGAGGUCGUGCUGUUUUUCCUUUUCUUUUCUUUCACAGGUAUUAUUCCCCACUAAAUCCAUUUGCUCUCCUAACACCUCCUCAUUGUCUACAUUCUGGAAAACCCAAAUUAUAUAUAUAUAUAUAUAUUUACCCUUUCAAUAAAAUUCUUUG